AUACUUAACUGACAGGGGCAAUACCACAGUCAAGAAGAUGGUUCCCCAGAGGGAGGCUCUUCAAAUUGCACUUCAGUUAGGCUGCCCCUGUGAUUUCUCCAAAUUUGGGAACUUAACUGCAUAUGUAGUUGUUACAUAUGCCUGGCCAAGUACAUAUC